AGUCUCUCUGAGUGUAGUCUACAACUGAACAGUGUCUCCGAGCCAUGUCUUACAUUCCACCACACAAGAGGCACACAAAGGGUUCACCGUCGCCGGAACCAACUCCGGCACCGGAAUCAGUGCUACCUGCCUUGAGAAAAAGCCUGAAUUUCAAGAGAAAGGAAAACAUUCGGCUCGAGAUCCGUUAUGCUCAUGGUGCAGUUAGGAAAUGGUUCCCUGUUGGUUUGACUCAUUUUUCAUCUCUUGUCAACCUUCAACCUCUUUCUAUCCAUCAAAAAUCUAACGAAAAUCCUCUUCGUUUGGUGCUAAUGCAAGGUUGCAAUGGAGGAACGAAUGAUGAGCCAUGGCGUUUGGUGGCUAAAAAUGUGAUGGAAG
rnacentral:misc_RNA from 1 species